AGCAAGAAUUAAAUACCAUAACUGCCAUUACAUCGAGAUCCCAUUUGCUACAUCUGCUUAUCAGCUUGUGUCUGAGACACUAAACAGAGCCAGGACCAGCUUCUCUGUGCCACCCUGGCACCGACUAGCCCUGUGUCUGGAGAGCCAGUCUUGGAGCAGGGGAGUGCAAUAGGACAGUAUGGCCUGGCCAUGUCAGUCAUGUCAUGCUCUCUUCUGCUUCAAAAUAGGCACUCCACUGAAAUAGAAGCUGCACUGAAAUCACCUGCUGAAAGCAACUCCAGAAGAUCCUUCUGUGUCAACCCAUGAACACUUCAGAGGAAUUUCUUGGGAUGAUAGACAGAAAUGCAGCUGUGACCCUCCUACCGAGGUGACCUUCCUAACAUUGUUCAGUUUACUAACGCGAAUGUGGCUGGUUUUGGCAGAAGAAAAGUAAAGAAGAAUCACUGGCAAAGGACACAACCACUGUGGCUAAAAAUGCGUGAGAGGGUGGCAGUGAAGGAGAGGUAGACACUGCAGAAACUCUAGGUGAAAGGAACACAGCAACAGGGUUUGCAAAGGGCUUUAGAGGAGUACAGGCUGCCAUUGAUAAAUAUAACAGAUAUUGAGGAAAACAGGAGAUUUUUCAUGUAAAUGUCCUUGGGAUCCAGAGGCAAAAUUUUUUAAGCCAGGAGUCUUUCCCGUUUGCUUCCAUCACUGCCUCUUCCAGUCACACCAAUGAUUUAGAUCAACUGCAAAUAGUGCCUCAUGGAUUAACUCUGAGCAUCGGUGUGACAACGAAAGCUCUUUGUUAACCUUCAGAUGAGCAGCUGCUGAGAGAAACUAAGCUGCUGCUCAGCCAUACAAGUUAUUUCCCUACCAGUAAACUAAAUGAGAUGAGGACAUGGGGCAGUGCUAGCAUGUGUCUGUCCAUCCUGUGGGAUUGCUGGCCCAUCCUUGAUACAGCUGUGGGGCAGGACUGGGUACCAGAGGGUGGCUGAGCAGGAUCUGUCCCUCUAGGCAGUGUGGGUGCUGGGGGCAGCAGAGUCAGCUGUAUAGGUGCAAGCCAAGUCAUGCCAGUCACCCUCCAAACUAGACAAUAUUCUGAGUGUGAAAUCAGUUAUUCACUAAUGUGCAUGGAGGAUAUUUAGGAAAAAAGCUUUAAUUCAUAUUUGCAUGUAUCAGGACAGCAGUGAAAGGCUAACUCUUCUUUAUAGACGGUUCUCUGCUGCCUACAAAAGCCAUGCUACAGAAAGCUAGUUGAACUAAAGUAUCACAAGGACACUUGAUUCCUUUGGUCUUCUUGUAUGGCUUUCACCUGGGUAAAAAGAGUCACUAAAACCUUUUUAUUCCCCGCCUUAGUUUCUUGUAAUGAAUAAAAAACCCCAUAGAAAUGCCAUCCACUGAAGGUAGCAUCUCAGACAAAUCCUGCCCUGUAGGAAAAAACUUCAACAACUUACAAAUAGAAAAAAAUUAACAGUAUUUAUUUGAUAACACACAGAUUGUUUUGUCCUACUUUGCGCAGCUAUUUUUCUCCAAGAGUAAGUGAUACUGUAUUCUGUAUAUGGUUAUGUUUUUAAAGGAGGCUGUAACUAUUCACCCAUCCUUCCUGUAACCUGAAAAACAUAGUAAAAUGUUUUUACUUUUCCCAGCAGCUCAGUGUUCACAAUUUUCACAAUGCUUAUGAUAUUAUGUUGCAAAGGUUUUUUUUAUUAUUCCCAGUACUUUGAUUAGAAAAGCUGCUUCAUACAUAAAGUUGCAAGAACUUUAUAUGUUAUUGGUGCUAUGUCAACAGUGGAACACAUAAGAUUUUUUAUGACAUGAUUUUUCAUUAAAAAUGCAGUGCAAUUCACUGCACUUAAAGGAACAUGAAUAUCAAAUGAAAACUGAUUAUUAUAAUCAAAUUUAAUAUUCAUUUCAUGAGGAGAAAUUUCAUGACCAGCAAUUAAUUAUAAGCAGGAGAUGAGAACAUGCAAAUAAACAUGGAUGUGACUGGGAUACAAUACUUGUGGUCUCUGUUCACCUAGACAUGACAUUUGAACUUUGUAACCAAGUCCUGAUCUCUUGCACUUAAACUUGUAGAAUAAACGUUAGAUAGGGCAAGAGAACUUGCAAUAAGGGAUAUUUUCCAAUUGGGAAUUGAAGGUAUGCUGCUGUACCUGUGUGGUAGUUACUAUUUUCCAGACAGUAUUGAUGAGCUCAUCAACAUAAUUUCAACAGACUCAGUGGGGAUGAAAUGGGGAUGCUGACCAAAAUGGGAUACUGACCUGCUGCUCACUAACACUCAGUGACUUAUAUAAAGUUUCACAGAGGAAGCAUAAACAUAUCAAUGUCAAUAGGUAAUUCACAGAUUAUCAGCAAUACACCAAGACUUUUUUUAGGUCAGAAUGCAAACUGCCCCAGCUGACUUCAGUUAGCACCUAAGGCAAGCACUGGAACCUGUUGCUGCACAUGGAGAAGUGUUAGUCCACUUCAGCUGGUCACCUGUCAUUUGAUUUGUGCUGAUUCCUGAACCCAGGCACUCUGCCUUCACUUGGGCCAAUGAACACUGUGCACUGUGCAUUUCUCCAUGUGUCCCUAUGCCUACCUUUGGGAAAGGCCCAGGGAGCAGACCAGGAUGCUCUGAAAGUGUAAUGGGCUUAUGCAGAGCUUCCUGAGCAUGGACGUGGGUUUCCCUGCAGCUGGUCCCUCUCACCAAAGGACAGAGCCCACCCCAGCAGCAGACCAGCCCUUCCUCACCUGCCUGCUGAAGCACUGGGCAGGCUGAGCUGGCUGGUGGGAUGGAGAACGCUGCAUUCAUCUGCAGCCGGUCUACCAGUCUCCAUUUCUGUUGCCAUGGAUACAAGAAUGAAGCAAUAACUUUAUUCAGGAGUAGCUAUUUUUACUGUAAUUACACCACAGGAAAUUAUUAGACUAUUCUUCCCUUCAUCUCACCCAUAUUUUAUUUAUGUUAUGAUGCUGGUGGUGGGGGGCUGCUCCCUGCCGUGGGUGUGGGUGCUGACGGUGCCAGGCUCAGAGGGCUCAGCUUAGCUGGGCAGGCAGCACCAGUCCAUGGGCAGGAAUCCACCCAGCAGCACCACACAGUUGUGAUGGAGCCCGGCACGGCAGGGACUUGCAGUUAAGAAUUAAUGUUGAUACAUUUUUUGCCAUGGAAUAAAGUGAACUGCAGAGUUAGCAGAGGUUAGGAUCAGGCCUGUCUGUAUUCUUGAACCCCUCUUCAGGAGGGAGGCUGGAACUGCCCCUGAGCUGCCAGGGCACAGGCUCCUGGCAGGACAGGACAUCUUACUGCCCACUGCCUGGCCAGUGUGGUGUGAGCACCCAGCUGUGGCUCUCACUGAUGGCUGCUUAAACCUUAGACUGUGAGCACCAGGGCUUGCACAAAGCCACUGGAGCUGUGUCAAGUCCGCUUCUGAAAUUUGGUGUGGAGUGCCACUGUGCACACUGCUGCAUGGCUUCUUAAAUCCUUCUCUGGACAUGGUGGCACAUAGCUGGAGGAGUUCAGGUCAGUGGUAGGCAGUAAAAACAAGGACUUAACCCCAAUUUUUUUAUCACUGCGAUUCUACAGGGCCUUCUCUCUAAGAUCCCUAUGAGACAAGUCCUAUAGAAUGUUACAGAAAGUAAAUUAUAGAUAUCUGUAAGUUUUUAGUAAUCCUGUAAGAUUUAGGUAUGGAAUUGCACAGCAAAGCAAUCAUUAAAAAAUAAUGCAUUUUUGUUUGCUUCUGUUAGGCUUUAAGGAUGUUUUGCUUAUUUGCUGCCUUUGUUUUUCUAGUGGUUGUGUGGCUGGUGGGUGCAGCAGCCUGUGUCUGUCUGCUCCUGUAGCACAGGAUCACUAGCAGGCCUGUGUGCAGACAAGUCCAUGAAAGCAGAGUGGAGGGAAGAACCUGUUAGGCAGUUAGCAUUAGGAAGUGUGAGUUUGCCAGCAUUGAUGGACAGGGCCGUGAACACACUGAAUGAUAACCAGAUGCUGAUGAGAUGCUCCAGAAGGGAAGCAGAGGAGUGUGCAGGCAUCCUGGGGCUGGAGCUGUAGUCUCCAACCCAGAUGGGGAAAAUCAUGUCAAGGAAAUAAAGCCCAGACUCUCCAAGCCUCUUGAUCUGUCCGGAGGAAUCCAGCCAUAGGUUAAUCCAUACGUCAUCCUGCAUCAAUGUAAGAGGAAAGAGUGCUACCAUGUAAACCACAGCAGGUACCCUCUCACAGCUUGUGUCUCCUGCAAUCCACGCAUCUCUGUUCUGCACUCCACAUCUACCUUGAAACUCAUAAAGAGAAAAGUACUGUAAGAAGGACUUUAUAAAGAAAGAGUGGGAAACCCCCCAUCACUGGACAUGAAGAAGUUUUGCUGUUUCACCUGCUGCUGCUACAGUUCAGAAGUGUAUGCCACAUAUUUUUGCCUGGAUCCUUUGAGACCCUAAUGAGACACAUCCUUGGUUUCCACCUGCUUGCUGAAAUCUGUGGGACAACAGUUCAUUUGCAUCCCUCUGCAAGAUCAAACACUGGAUCUACAUUCCUUACACCUGUGUUUCCCUACCAUCUGAAGCACCAAGCUCUUGUUUACUUUCUCUUUGCCUGUAAGCAGGCAGGUGAGCAAAAAGAUUUACUAAAACCACAAAGAAAUCGAAACCAUUGAGAUGAUAGAAAACUGUGGGUUAGAUAAGGGAGCUGAAGAGACCAGGGAAGAAGAAAACUGGAGAUAAUCUCCUACUAUAUCCACCUAUCAAAUCCUUGAAUCCUUAGUUCCCUAUCUUUUUGGGGGAAAGAUGUAAGGUAGGUGGUCUCAUCCAACCCACUGCUAGCAAGAAGUAACAGGGACAAGAAGCCACCACCCUGUGUCUAUUUAAACCUGUAGGGUGAAACAAACCAGAGAAAAGUGGAUGAAAAAAACCUGUAAAUACCUAAAAAAACCUCCAUCCCAAUAACUCUUGAGCCUCUCAGCUAACAGGAAUAAGAGAAGGGACCUGAAAGGGAAUAGAAUCUGCUUCUGAAGAAACCAUCAUGGGGAUGAAAAUGAUCAGUCACUCCUCGGGUACCACUCAGAGUAUCAGCUACUCCUUCCAUCAUCACCCCAGCUGUCCCAGCUCCAGCUCAAGCCCAGCCAUAUUUUCUGCCUUUUUUAGGCCUCCUUUUUCCUUGGGUGUGUGGAUACAAUAUUUCUGCUAGCAAGAGUUUUCUUGCUGCUUUCUAAGCCCAUGGGAUACUUUUCUCUCUCACAAAGAGAUUAGCAGAAGUUCUA